rnacentral:snoRNA from 1 species
UGUGAUUGGUACGUUCGAUGCUCCACCACGCAGCUGUCCCAUUAUGCAUAUCCUGUGUGCGCUCUAGCCCCGUCGGGGCCCUGAUGAGUCUGCAUCAAACCAUGCAUUACACAUCCAC